rnacentral:rRNA from 1 species
UACGUAGGUGGCAAGCGUUGUCCGGAUUUACUGGGCGUAAAGAGCGCGCAGGCGGUCGGAUAAGUCGAAUGUGAAAGCCCCCGGCUCAACUGGGGAGGGUCAUUCGAUACUGUUCGACUCGAAGGCAGGAGAGGAAGUGGAAUUCCCGGUGUAGUGGUGAAAUGCGUAGAUAUCGGGAGGAACACCAGUGGCGAAGGCGACUUCCUGGCCUGUUCUUGACGCUGAGGCGCGAAAGCUAGGGGAGCAAACGGGG